UUGUUAAGUUAUUGUUGAUUCUAUGUUUAAUCCUUUUGAAGAUUGCAGAGAGACAUAACUUCUUAAUCUUUGAAGAUCGUAAGUUUGCUGACAUUGGUAACAUAGUGACCAUGCAGUAUGAAGGACGGAUAUUGGACGGGGCAAAUAUAGUUAAUGCUGACAUAAUCUCUGGUCCUGGAAUUGUGGAUGGUCUGAAACUGAAGGGUUUGCCUCGUGGUAGGGGCCUGUUGCUUGUUGCAGAAAUCACUACAAGAAAUAGAAUAAUUAGCGACAAAAUUUUUAGAUUGGGAAAAAAAAUUGUCCCUAAAUGUAUCAAUUAGCGACGAAAUUAAAAAAUUGUCUCAAUAUUUUUAUAUACAUAGUUUUAGAGACGAAAAAUGUAUC